AGUUAAAUCAGUUAUACUUAUUUGAAACUAUGUAUAUGUAUACCACAAUACAAAAAUAUUAUUUAAAUAAAAGAAUAUAGUAAACAAAAAUAGCCUACUUUAAUGAACUAGCUUGCUUUCUUGAACAAAGGUAAUUACAGAAGUUGUUAUAUCCUACCACCAUGAUUUAAAGACAUUAAUAAUUCUAUGUAUGAUAGUGUUAACUUUAUUUAAUGAUAAUCAUCUAAAAGGAGAACAAAGCAAAUUGCAUCUAAUUGUGAACUGAGGCGCAACAGACUAAGCAAAGAUGCAAUUACAAUAAAGAAUCAUACAUAUAUCGUAAUAGAACAGUAAGUUAGAACAUCUAUACAACAAGGAUUUCACGGUCAGCGACAGAAGUAUGCAUGCAUGGACGUCGGACGAAGUAUACCAUAUUUUUAUUGUCUGAUGUUAGUAACUCAAAAUAAAAACUACAUGUAGAAUAGUUUUGUUAUCAAUAUGUUAGUCUAAAGAUAAGGUUGUCCACCCGAUUAGUUGAUUAGGAUUCAUGUCACAAGUUUCGAAUUAGCGCCCCAAAGAAUCCUAUUGUUAAUUGAUCCAUCAUUUCUGCCAUCAUCAAACUUAUCCUCUACCCGGCCAACCUAAUUAAUGACAAUUGGCAUUUGCUUCCCAGCAAAGCACAUCAUUUUUUUUCUCCCGGUGCAACGCACGGGCAUGUUUACUAGUAAAGCAAAUAAAUUCAAGAAAUUAUAUCUAUAUGCAUAUUUGGCUGGUGGAGGCUCUAAGUUUAAAUGUUUUGCAUAAAGCUAAUUUUUCCCUACAACAAAGGAAUAUAUUUAAACCAAUAAGGAGGCUGGGCGACCCGCCCACCCGAGGGCUCCUCCGAUUUCACUUCGUUUUUACCCUUCGAUCGGGCCUGGUCGCGUCAACGCUGAUGUUCUGGCCGUUUGAUUUUUACAGAUCGUUUUGACCCAAGGUUGUUUUGUGGGUGCACGAUGACUGGUGGGCUCGUCUAGGCCUUCUAUUGGCUGGGUCAAAUUCCCUCGCGUGAGCGAGUCCUGCUGCAUCACGUGUCGCGUCGCGCGCAGGCUGGGUCUUUGCGUCGCCGGGACGUUGCGGAGGGGUUGGCGGACAUGUAUGCACCCGGUUUUUUUGCACCCGCAUCUGUGCUAUACCGAUGAUCGGUGGGCCAGUGCUUUCCUGGGCCCGCUCGUCGGCUGCGCUGGCUGCCCAUAUCCCGGUGUGGGUUAGAGUUUCUUCUGGUUAGCCACUUUUGGCGGGUCUUCCCUCGUUCCCCGCACGCGUGAAUUGUGGGCAGCGCGUCGUGCGUUGUGGAGGCAGCAACGGAGGGGGUCAGCCAAUGCGUGUGCACCCGGUUUCUGCACCUGCCUUUGGCUAGUCGCGAUGACGAGUGGGCCGCCGCUACUCCUGGUCCCGCUCGUCGGCUGCAGUGGAUGCGCGUCUCGUCGGGGUAGCUGUGUCGUCGGUUUGUUUGGUGCUGGAGAGAGUUGUGGGCCUGACUCGUGCGUCGUGCUCUGCCCGACUCCUGCGCCAUGCCGUGUCUCGUCUACGACAGCAGGAGCGUGUGCCCUCUCUCAUCCUCGCUCCUCCCUUCCUGGUCAACACAGCCGCCGCGCCACCUCCGUCCUCCGGUCCUCCCUCCCCCCCUGCAGCCCCAGCUCGCGAGGAAGCCGCGGGAGGAGCAGCUCAACCGGGCGUCGCCGGCCGGAGAAGGAGGAGAGGCGCGGAUGCCAGCCAGGGAGGCGGAUCGGCUCGCCCUCUGCAUCCACCUUGCUGCUCAUGGCAGCAUGUGUGCGGAAGCGGGGACAGGCGACCAUGAGCAGAUGUCAUCGGCGGACGCACGGUGCGCGAAGUCCGGUAAGAUGGGCGCGGCCUCCCCGCAGGCAUUUCAAGAUGGCGUGCCCCACGGCUCGGAACGCGCGUGCCUGGCACAUAGGAGGUAUGCCUCGGAGCAAGCUGGUGGCAACGUGCACCGCGAGGCCCCGGAGCAGCCCAACCAGUACAUAGCCCCUCCGUACUGGAGGAACCCUGCCGCCGACGCAGCCAGCGACGGCGACGCGUAUGAGAGCUCGGCCUUGGUGGCCCGCGAGCCGUAUGGGAGGAUCACGUCCGCGCUCGAGGGCAGCAACAAGUGCGGCACGAGGAGGUGCGCCGGUCUACAAUGACGCAAGGUGUACGUGUCCGCAUAGCAGCAUAUGUGCGGCAGCGGGGUCAGGCAACCACAGGCAGAUUUUGGGGAGCGGCACAACCAUCAAGCAACGGCUGAUGCCAAGGAACCUUAUCACAAUAGAUCAUUGGCAUUGCAGCUUCAGGGACAUGUAUGCUUUAUAUCCCAUCACUGAACAAGAUUGGAUUUUAGUGAAUACAAGCCAUCCUCCUCGCUGCCCUCCUCAGCUACUCAGGUGAAUGCAGUGGACUAUUCAAGAUCGAGGGCACCAACGGCAUAUGCUGAGGGCGUCCAUCAACAACCUGCCCAAUGUCCGGAUUCACCGAGGAGUACAACCAGAGACACUGUCGGCUGCCUGCAGCAGGCGCCAAGCCCCCCGACACCGAGCCGUCUGUUCUUCUCUUUGCCCGAAGAAGGAUUAUGGUUCUCCACCUCUCUGCUACUCAUAUUAAAAUUCCCGUAUGUUCUUUCUUUCUUUAUUUUCUGUCAACAAAAAGGUGAAACAUGUUCUUAAUUUUCCAUAAUGAUUUUGAUGGCAAUUUGUCAGUGUAUUUCUAGCUGGAAUUGCAUGUAUAUCUUACAAAUUUACAUUGCAACAAAUUAAGAAGGAGAAUAGAAGCAUUUGCAGCCAUCUAACAUAUGGUAUUUUUCAAAAAGCUCAAGGUUAGAGAUGUGGCGCUGUAUGAGGCUAUCAUUACGAUGGAAGAUAAAUUAUUGUUAAAAUAUUGUUUGAAUUUCCUUCGUUCUGUAAACGGCAAUACAAGCUAUGUUUGCACCAUGAUUCUAUUCCAAUUUCUUUUAACAACUAGCAAUUAACGACACAUCAAAUGUCCUGUAUUCAAAUGGAUCAUUUUGUCUGGUUGGGUUUAGUAGGUCAUAAUGGUUUUAUUGUACAGCAGGAUUAAUUUUGUUUAUACUGUAACCAGUUCAAGGAUUGAUAAGUUUUCGCCCUAUGAUCUUUGCACACAAAGGUUCGGCUGUGUUCUUUUGGAAAUAUACAUCCGCCAAGUCUCAUGUGUCUUGCAUUGUUUUCGCUUUCCAAGCUACAGGUUUGGAUAUACUUCGAACAAGAUUCUUUAUAUGUUGUUCGAUUCCUCUUGACCACAAGGGGAAUGCUUACUGUGGCAAUACGCACUUCUAUGCUUACUGAUUGGCACUCUUUAUUAGCAUGGAGAAUAACUUUUAGUUCACUAAGAUUAGUUUCUGUUCACAUUGCUCUGUAUAUAAAAAAAGGAUUGUUGUGCUGAAAAGGUAUAUGACAUUCUGGCAAAACGUUGUUUAGUAAAAAGGUAUGUAGAGGUGAACUUUAGAAGUGAAAUGGUGUGGAUGUUCUGACAUGGAGAUGCUUGGACUAACUUUAGCGUCACACAUGAUUUUUUGUUUUCCUCCGAAUGUAUGUCCUACUAAUUGUCAGCGCCUGAUUUUUUGUUUUCCUCCCAAUGUCAUGUGAUAAUUACUGCACUAUAAAUCACAUGCUUGCAAGUCAUUGUUGUGUUGUCUCUCUCUCUAACCGCCCCCUCCCCCUUCCCAUCAUCUUGGCUUGCAGGUUGCCGGCGUGUCUCCCACGAGUCUGCGACAUAACGUGCAAUCUAGGUUGUUGGCAAGUUAACUUAGGAUUGGCAACCUAUAGUGUAUUAGUGUGGCAAGCACAUGGGAAGGUGGGAUUACAUUCUAUACUCUUGAAACUAUGUAGACUUUUGCAUAUACAUUGUUCACUUCAGCAAAAUAGAGAUCCCCUAACUAGCAGAUCAAUGUUGGUUGUGAUCAAACUUUUUUACAUUGUCAUAUUUGUAUAUAUAGUGUGUGAUGGAGUAUCAACUAGCUGCCUUUGGUCGCACUUAGUAUAAAAGUCUCAUAUAUUGCUAGCUCCUUGUAUAUCUAAUUGGAUUGUUUGCUGAGCAAUUUCUCUAAUGUACAUCUCUAAAAUUACUAAUAUAUGGAUUUUCUAAACAUGAUGGUGCAUAUCCGAGAAAGAAGAAAUAGGACCAAGGAAAUUAGGUGCUUCUCUACCUCUCUAUCAUUCACAUUUUAUUGUAUUUUCUAAAGAUGUGUGCCGCUCCCUCGCCUAGUGUUAGUUUCUGCAUGCUUCUCUCCAUGGUCCUCUUUAUUUAGUAUGUAGAGUUCAACUAAACCAUAACGAAUGUGGAGGUUUAUUUUAUUUGUGUUUGUUUAUUUUGAUGGUUUAUUGACUGUUAGAAUAUAGUAUGGUGUGUUCAACAUGCUCACAAAAUUGAAUAGAAGCCCUUCUGAUGUCGAAAUCAGAUUAAAUUUAUGGACUAGCUCAUUUAGAUAUUACAGGGGAGAACAACAUUUGUUUUCUGGAUUCAGUUUUGGUUCUUUCUAUAAAAAUAGUCGGAUAGUGGUCUUAAUGAAACAUUGCAUUUAUUUCAUACAAGUCGCUGAUAUAAUUUGCAUCUAGCAAAUAAAUUUGUAUCACUAUCUAUUUUAUCAGGUAAAACACCAGCAUGUUGUUUGAGGUGCAUGCAUCGGUUGUAGCGAAAAUGUGCGUAUGACGAUGUAUUGCUGACCAUGGAGCACUGCAAGGCUUCAAGAUAUCUACCGCAACUUAGAGGCUUGACACAUUGCCACUUGCUCCUACCACCAUGCAAAUGGUCGAUGCUUUAGUGUUGAACUAUUGACUAAUCUUUUUUUUCUUUAAUCUAUGUGAUGGUGCCCCUUACCAUUAGUACUUGUCAUGUGGAUUUCAAUAGAAAUGAUGUUUUAGGCAUGUUUGAUGGUUAUAAAACAAAUGCCAUAGAUGAUAGCUAUUGCUAUUAUGGAGUUUGGAACUAUUGUUCAACUGAUAUUCAAUGUUUGAUGCUCCUUCAUUA